UACGAAGGUUGCAAGCGUUACUCGGAAUUACUAGGCGUAAAGGGCAGGUAGGUGGUCUGAUAAGUCUGUUGUGAAAGCUCCCGGCUUAACUGGGAGAGGCCAACGGAUACUAUCAGGCUUGAGUAUAGGAGAGGUUACUGGAAUUCCCGGUGUAGCGGUGAAAUGCGCAGAGAUCGGGAGGAACACCAAUGGCGAAAGCAGGUAACUGGACUAUUACUGACACUCAACUGCGAAAGCUAGGGGAGCAAACAGG
rnacentral:rRNA from 1 species